ACUUCUUGACCGAGCAGAAAGUGUAAUGUAAGUUUUUCAGUGUUUUUAAUCUAUCUAUGUCGUGUGUCUCCUGUUUUAAUUCAUAUUAUAAAACUUUAAAGUGUUUUCUGUUAUGUGCUAUGAAUGUAAGUAGGCUAUAUACUUAUAGUAUGUAUAGUCUAUCCAAUGUAAAUAGUUUAUUGAGGCCCAGUUCACUUCUAAUUUAUUCAAAGUCCAAACUAUUAUCAUUGAUGAUUAACUUCACUUUAUCUCCAAAAUGGAUAUAUAUUGAAAGAUUAAAUAUGUUUAUUUUUUCAGGUACCAUUUACAAAAAAAAAUAUUGAAGAGAAUGUGCUCAAAAGGAAAUGCAUAUGAAUUCUUUUUUGUUGACCAGGAUGGAAAAAUUCUUUGGAACCCAUAGUUAGGAUAAGUUAGUUAGGCCUAGAGGUGUACCAGCCAGAAGUAGAGGAUGACAAAGAAAAUCAACUAUGGAUAAUAUUCCAUGGAUAUGAUUCAUGUAUGAUGUAGUAGCCUAUAGGAGAAAGAGAUGAACUAAUCUAAGAAAUAUAUUCAUUUUUUCAGUACAUCUUGAUGUGUUUAUUUCAUGUUAUUCAUAA